rfam:Triticum urartu cultivar G1812 contig449157, whole genome shotgun sequence.
UUUCUACUCCCUCCAUCCGAAUAUACUUGUCAUCAAAAUGGAUAAAAGGAAAUGUAUCAAAAUGGAUAAAACAGAUGUAUCUAAAUCUAAAAUAUGUCUAGAUACAUUUCCUUUUAUCCAUUUUGAUAACAAGUAAUUCCGGACGGAGGGAGUAUUUG